GAUUCAUUCUUGCCCAAUGCAUCGAGACACCCGCAUUCUGACCAGCUUUUAAAAUGUAGUUUGUUUGCCACGGUAUCACUUUCAGCAUUCAGACCCAAAGAGGCCAGAACCUCACAGAACCCCUCUUACGCUCUUGACUGAUUGCAAAAGUUACGUACAAACCGGAGCCGCACAUGAAUGUUUCUGCAUCCAGGAGAUUUUCUGGAUUUACUCAAAUGAGUGCUUGUGCACAGUUUUUUUUUUUUUUUUUUUUUUUUUUUUUUUUUUUUUGUAUGUGUAAUUAUGGAAAACAUGAAUCAUUUUGUAUGAAUGUGUGAAUUGUUGACCUCUUACUACUAAUGGUAAUGUCCGCUUGUUUUGUGAACUUGAAGAUAAAAUGUCAAAUUUUAUAUAAAUAAAUGAAAUUGAAUAUUUUUUUUUCUUCUGUAUCUUAAAAAAGAUAAGAAAAGCAUAAUCUGGUUUUAACAGUGAGUCUCUUAAUGUUAACUGAACAAUAAAACAUUAAUGUAAUGUAAGCUAGACACAAUACUACACACAAGUUGUAAAUACAAAUGUUUAAAUGCACAUUAAAAUGUUACAAUAAUUCACUUCAUAUGAACUUAAUGCAUAUAUAAAUGUAUACUAUGCACAUUUUGAAAGUCUUAAAUGUUCAUUACAGGUUCUUAAACUUAAUGGCUAAUUUAACACUGUUAUUAAAUGAAUGCUUUUAAAUGUGUAAGGGUAAGGAAUGCACAUAAUGAAAAGCUUUUAAUUGUUGUAAAAGAUUAUGAAUUUCUACACUUACUAUGGACGUGCUGCUUUUUAUAUUUGUUGAUCAGUUAUAAUUUUAGGCACCUCCCAGUCCUGUCUUCCCACGCGUUGAAAUAUAAAGGCACCAAACAGAUUGACAUUUUUUUUUUACUGCAGCGCUCAGCAUCUGCAUCUGCCUUUAAUCAUGACACCAUCUACCUCAACAAGAAACACUUUUAUUUUGCUGUUUUAUCUGAGUUUUACAAUUCUACACGUCAAGGUUAUUGGUUAUAACGGAUGUUACCUGGAAUCCAGACAGGGAAUCUCGAGAUGUGAACGCUGCACUGAAGAAUGUUCUGAGAAAAAAAAUGAGAUGGAAGUUACUCCAUGCACUCAGGACAGCAAUAGAUCGUGCUUCUGUAAACCAGGUUUUUACUGUACAAGAGGAAACAAUUAUGUCACACACUGCCAUAAACCAUGUGUUCCCUGUGGGAAGGGCACCUUCUCCAGCAAACCCUCUCUGGAUGCCUGCAAGCUUCAUACAAAUUGUGCUCAGUUGGGGUUGUUAACGCGCAAAAAGGGCACAGCGACACAGGACACAGAGUGUGUGACUAUCACCACAGUGAUGUCAUCCUUGUCCACUUUGUCCACUACCACCAAUACCAUUACUACAUUCCCUAUCACUAACACUUCCAUCUCCAGGACAGGGGUCACUGCACCACGCAUAGACACUUCAGAGGAAAGCCAGUACCAUUGGCUGCUGCUAUUGAUCUUAAUGUUGAUAAUAUUGUUCAUGGCUGGAUCCUGUAUGCUGAUGAAAAAUGUGGCAAAGAAAACCUUUUUAAAAUGGCCUGGUUUAAUAAACGGAGGACAUGAAGAUCAUCAACACCGGAGUCAAACUGCAGGUGACCAUCAAAUUUCGUCCAAUACCCAACCCCACACCUUGGAGACUGAGAUACCUCUCGCUAGUAGUGGCAGAGAGGUCAAAGGUCAGAGCACGGGGCUGAUGCCCCAACCUGGGGCUGUGCAGCAGGUCACUAUGGAGCACAAUGGGAAGGGUGAGAACGUCAACAAUACUGUUGGGUCCAUCUACAUCUAUUCUCCUGGAAUGGUGAUUUUGGGAUCCAACUCGGGUGAUAAAAAGGAAGAGGCAGGAGUUUGCGAAGAAGUCGUUCCCCUCAUCAACAGACCACAGCAAGAGUCAAAUCCACCUUCGCAAGAGGUCAGAAUUAGAAUAAGCUCACAGGAAGAGGCCGAGGAGGACCUGACCUUGAGUUUUCCUGUGCCGGCAACUGGAAAGUGA
ensembl:lncRNA